CGUCACCGUCUACUUCUCAGCGGUUAAGGCAGUCUGGUACUGACAUGUUGGUUAGAUCUUUCUCUCGUUAAGGUGAGAAGGUGCCUGUGAGGCCUUCAUGGGGAGGCUGUUCUCCACACUAUGUGAUUGGAUCUGCCUUUCUAGCUGCAGCAGUUAGUGUAUUCAUUCUGGCGGCAUUCCUGUGCUGUCUGCCAAUAAACUAUUGACCCACGCUAGCCCUCAG
rnacentral:lncRNA from 1 species